rnacentral:rRNA from 1 species
UACGGGGGGGGCAAGGCGUUGUUCGGAAUUACUGGGCGUUGAAAGGGCUACGGUGGCGGCCAACUGAAGUCGGUACGUGAAAUCCCCAGGAGCUCAACCCUGGGAACUGCGUCCGAUACUGGAUGGACUUGAAGUCCGGGAGAGGGAUGCAGAAUUCCAGUGUAGCGGUGAAAUGACGUAGAUAUCUGGAGGAAUACCGGUGGCGAAGGCGGCAUCCUGGACCGGCAUUGACGCUGAGGAGGACGAAAGCUGAGGGGAGCCAAACGGG